rnacentral:lncRNA from 1 species
AGCAAAGCACUAGACUUUAUUGUUUUUGUAAAGAUCAUACUCAACUCAUAACAUGAAAAGCUCUUUAUAGAGUUCAAAACAACUCCACUAACUCUACUAACUUCACUAACUCCACUAAUUAUAUAGAACAAACAAACAAACAAACAUGGUCAACGAAAAAACAAGUGAAUAUUUCUCAUAGGAAGGUGGGAUUCUUCUCAAGUGCAGCUCUACAUGCUUGGUUGCAUAUGACCUCCUAGUGCUCUUUCACGUGGAUGCAAGUCUUGGAUCACUCUGUAAUCUGUGUCUCCUUCUUAUUGAUUGGUCUAAAUCACAUGCUCCACUAAUGUUUCAGAGGCUAAUAACUCCAAAAGGAUUGUUUGCGAAUGUGCAUGAAUGCUAUGAAAACUUUAAUUGGUCAUACACCUAUUCUAAGAUAGUGCAGUCAAGGGAAUUUCAGCGGAGAAGCCAACCAUCCAAUUUUCAAACUAUUUGGAGGAAGACACAUUUUCGGUAUCCAGCAUCCAAGGGUGACAAUGUUUCCAGUUUGUCUUCUAUCGCAAAUGAGCUGUAUGUUGAUGUUUGUCCAAUUCUGCACAAGUUGAUAGAUCUUCAGGAAUCUAAGUCUCGUAUUGAAAUAGUACAGUUGGCUUUGUCCACGGGUUCUUUAUUUGGACGAUACGGGCCAUUCUCAUGUGAAGAGAAACUUGAACUUGACAAAUCUUUCACUUCUAGCUCUAAUACUUACAAGGAAAUCGAUACAAAAUAAUAAGUGGAGUGAGCAACAACUUGAUGAACAAGGAGCACAUGUACUUCUUUCUUGGACUGAGCAUAUUAGGAUAGAUAUAGAAUGCAUUUCAAACUUUCAUUAAUACAUACAUAUAAAUUUACAAAGAUGUGGUCAUCAUAAGCAUUUCAAAUACAAAGCAUACAUCACAAUAUUCAUAACCAUAAAUGAGUUCAAGAUAUAAGGUUAAUCAUUGAUUUUGGAUAUCUAGUUAUUAACUUGACCAGUUAACACAGUUCAUAGUGUUAACUAUCACACGGUUAGCCCAUUUCAAAUGUCCAUCAUAACACUAGUUCAUAAUACUAACUACCAUUUAGGAACUAGUCCUACCAAAGAGUCAACUUAUAUGAGAGCUCAGUCAAAUAAUAAUUCAACUACUUAUAUUUGGCCACAAUUACGCAUACAUAUAAAUCAAUAACAUAUACACAUACUUAUGCCAUUUUAAUGAAUAAAAGCUUUCAAAAUUAUUAGAGUUUGACAGUUGCAUUUUCAAAAGAUAAAGAGCACAUGCAUCACUUACCUUCACCAAUCAAGUUAGCAUCCAACUCAAUUCUGAAUUGUCCCAAUAGAACUCACCUAAACAUAACAAAGGACUCAAUUAAGUCCUAAAGGCUCUUAUUCAUAUUGAAUUAUCAUAAAAAGGACCGCAAACACCAACCCCAAGUAAUAACCUAUAAUAAACAUCAUCCUCUCACUCAAGUAGAACACAAUAGUCAAUUUUAAAGGUUUACUGAUUCUUGUAAGUAUAGAACUAGGAUGAGAUCUUUAUAUGUGCUUAAAACCCUCUAAGUCUAGUUUCUAACGCAAUAAACAACCUCAAUUCCGAGUUUUCUACACUAAGAUAUGACCAAAAAACUGAAGUGCAUCUAUGUAGAGGCCCAAUCCAGCCCAAACAUCAAAGAGGAAUCCGGUGCAGAUUCAAGGUCAGAUUCGAGGUAGAAGAGGUUUCCGAUUUCGGUUCCCAAGUUCCUUUUUCAACCUAAAUUAUCUCCAAACUUCCAUAGUCAUCAAAAUCAACAUUUUUUACAUCCCACAAUCAUAUUAUUGCAUACAUAAACUUGAAAACGAUUUAUUAAAUCCAAAUCAAGAACCCCUUAGAUCUUAAAUUAACAUAGAGGAAUUCUAACUAAUAAUCUACCCAAGCCAUAAAUCAACCCAACAUCCACAAUUAACCCAAAAAUCCCUCUUAAAUAUCACUUCAAGAAAAAUGCUCCAUCUCUCAAUCAGAAUCAAGAACUAAAACAUCUUAAGAGUAAAGCUUAACAGAAGAUCCAUAUGCAAGACGGCUAAUUUAUGCAAUAAACAAGUUCAAAAUAACUUGGGAUAACCAUAAUACAACAAAACCCAUUAAGGAUCCAUCCAUAUUCAAGACCCAGCUCACUAACUUAACAUUUAAACUAAAAUAACCAUAAUAACUCAAAGAAAUUGGAAUUACCUUUGCUAGUUUUCCAAAAUGAGUAUUUUGCUAGCUUUUCUCCCACUCAGAUAGCCUUUGAUCCUCAAGAUUAGCUCUCAAUUAGAAUGGA